UGAAGUAAUUUAGGACAUGCAGUAUGAUUUUUCCUUUAAUAGAAAUGAAAGGGCACAGUUGAGAAGAGUAAUCGAAGACUGAACCCAAGUCGUAGACACAGACCAAUAUUCUACACCACACAUCACCAACGAAUCUCUAUGUAGUCGCUCGACUGGCUAGAAAUAGCAGCGAGAUCUGCCUUAAAUCACACUCUACCUACUCACUUAAAAAAGCAAAACUCACUGGACGACUGAAUAAAAUAUGAAAUGGUCGCGACGAACAUACCAACAAUCUACGGAACUCACACAUAUUUAUUAUGCACAAAGAAACUGGCAUUUUUUAAUCUUUUUCUCUUUGUUGCAGUCAUGUGAAACACAGAAAGACGUCACAGAAAUACAAUAUUUUCAAAACAUUGUUAAUAUAUUGAAAUCCACGUUCGUGUGUGUGUAUAUAUAUAAAAUAAUAAUUUACAUGAGUUCAAGGCCACGCAUUUUGCAGCGGAGCAGAGCUGACCGAAUCGUCUUCAAUGCAAGUGGUUAUUCUAACAAUUUUGGAAAUGUAAAAAGUAAAGUCGACCUCGGCGGAAUUUGAAUUUUAAAUCUAUAACGUAGCUAAAUACUUUGAAGCAUUUGGUCUGGUGCUUUACAGUUAUAUACUCGAACCUACAUGCACAUAAACAAAUAUGCACAUACAUUUUAUUCAAGAAUAGAUACAUGAUUACACAACAGCUACCGAUGAAUACAAACCAAAUCAUAAAUAAGGCAGAUUUUCUACAGCUGAAUGCCCUUCCUAAAGCCAACCCUCACCUGUUUCCAAGCAAGGUACGACCAAGUGAUCCAGCCGUUUGAAUCCUAAUCUGGGGUAUCCAUGAAUGUCUUACUGACAGAUUAACUUCAGGAAAAGGAAUGUUUGUCUUCUCUUUAAUAAAUUGCCUUUCAGAAGAAAUGAGUUCAGCAAUCCAAGCUAAUUUAAUUGUGAUUAAUUAUAUCAAGUUCCUUUGUCUAUACCGGUUGGUACUUUAUCUCCCCACAUUACGUAUAUGCAGCAAAAUGGAUAGCGUCAACAAGACAUUUUUUCGUUAAAUACAACCUCAAUACAUGAUGAAAAAGGCAGACGUUUAUUAAAAACUUCAAUAGCUACUAAUCACAGUUGAUAAAUUUUAAAACUCUCUUCCUCUCUUGUUAUAUUGAUAUGAAUAUACCUUUUUUUUCUGUAUCAUAUUCAAGGUAAAGUUCCUUCCCAAGGAAGGACACAGACUCAAGGCCAGCUUCCCAGUUUACAUGGCAUAUGAAUUCCCCACCUGGACAAGACGCCGGUCCAUUGCAGGGUUACUCAUUUCUGCCAGCUGAUUGGACUGGAGUAAUGUGAAAUGAAGUGCUUUGCUCAAGAACACAAGACAUCACCUGGUCUAGGAAUUGAAACCACAAUCUUAGAGAUCAUGAGUCUGAUACUCUAACCACUAAGCCAUGUGCCUCUACUUUUUUAAAGUAAAGCUGUUUGAAUUUAUUUUAAGCAUUGCUAGAAAGUAAUUUUAUGAAGAUGUAGAUUUUGGUUAUGGAAAAAAAUAGCAAAACAAUGUCUUUCAUGUCUUCAUUUUUGUUAAUAAUUUCAU